rnacentral:rRNA from 1 species
AUGCAAGACUACUUCGCGGAGAAUCCAACAUAUCCACUGUACCUCUUCCGGAGAAGGUACCGAAUGCGCCGAUCCCUCUUUGUGAAAAUUGUUCAAACUUGCGAGGCAAAUUGUCGGUAUUUUACUCAAAGAAGAAAUGCGAAUUCGGGGUUUUGCAAUCUAGGUUUGCCAUUGCUUGUGGUCCUGCUCAUUUUUGGGACAAGCGGACCUUGA